GUAGUUAGCCGGGGCUUCCUCCUCAAGUACCGUCAUUAUCUUCCUUGAGGACAGAGUUUUACAACCCGAAAGCCUUCUUCCCUCACGCGGCGUUGCUGGGUCAGGCUUGCGCCCAUUGCCCAAUAUUCCCCACUGCUGCCUCCCGUAGGAGUCUGGACCGUGUCUCAGUUCCAGUGUGGCCGAUCAGCCUCUCAGCUCGGCUACCCAUCGCGGACUUGGUGGGCCGUUACCCCGCCAACUAUCUAAUGGGACGCGAGCCCCUCCUUCUGCGGAUUGCUCCUUUGACCUCUCUCCGAUGCCGGAGUGUGGUCUUAUGCGGUAUUAGCACCCGUUUCCGUGUGUUAUCCCCCUNAAAAGGCAGGUUGCUCACGCGUUACUCACCCGUUCGCCACUAGGCAAAACCGAAUUCUUGCCCCGUUCGACUUGCAUGUGUUAGGCACGCCGCCAGCGUUCGUCCUGAGCCAGGAUCAAACUCUGA
rnacentral:rRNA from 1 species